ensembl:lncRNA
UACCUGUCUUUACAUCUAUCCCUCUGACGCACAGGCCUAUAAAUAAUGACCGCUGUGUGUGUGUGUGUGUGUGUGUGUGUCAGACAGCAGCAGUCCAAUCUAAUAAAGAGCAGCAGCCUGUCUGUUUAUCUGUUACAUCUGCAUCAUGUUGCUGUUUACUCCUCUUUUCUUCUUCUCCUUCUCCUCCUUCUUCUUCUCCUUCUUCUCCUUCUCCUCCUUCUUUUUCUCCUUCUCCUUCUUCUUCUUCUUCUCCUCCUCCUCCUUCUUCUCCUUCUUCUUCUUCUUCUUCUUCUCCUUCUCCUCCUUCUUCUUCUCCUUCUUCUUCUUCUUCUUCUUCUUCUUCUUCUUCUUCUCCUUCUUCUUUCUUCUUUCUUCGUCUCUUUCUUCUUCGUCUCCUUCUUCUCCUCCUUCUAAUUUUCCUUCUUCUUCUCCUCCUCCUUCUUCUUUUCCUUCUUCUUCUCCUUCUUCUCUUCUCCUUCUCCUUGUUCUUCUUAUUGUACUCCUUGUUCUUCUUCUCCUUCUCCUCAUCCUCCUUAUUUUCCUUCUUCUUCUCCUUCUCCUCCUUCUCCUUCUUAUUUUCCUUCUCCUCCUUCUUAUUCUCCUUUUCCUUCUUCUUCUCCUUCUCCUUGUUCUUCUUCUUCUUCUCCUUCUCCUUCUCCUUCUUGUUCCUCUUCUUCUCCUUCUCUUUCUUCUCCUUGUUCUUCUUCUCCUUGUUCUUCUCCUCCUUCUUCUUCUCCUCCUUCUUCCUUCUUCUUCUCUUCCUUCUUCUUCUUCUCCUUCUUCUCCUUCUUCUCCUCCUUCUCCUUGUUCUCUCUUCUCCUUGUUCUUCUUAUUGUACUCCUUGUUCUUCUCCUUCUUCUCCUUCCUUCUUCUUAUUUUCCUUCUCCUCCUUCUUAUUCUCCUUUUCCUUCUUCUUCUCCUUCUUCUUCUCCUUCUCCUUCUUGUUCUUGUUCCUCUUCUUCUCCUUCUUCUCUUUCUUCUCCUUGUUCUUCUUCUCCUUCUUCUCCUUCUUCUUAUUUUCCUUCUUCUUCUCCUCCUCCUCCUUCUUUUCCUUCUUCUUCUCCUCCUUCUCCUUCUCCUUGUUCUUCUUAUUGUACUCCUUGUUCUUCUUCUCCUUCUCCUCCUCCUCCUUCUUCUUCUUAUUUUCCUUCUUCUUCUCCUCCUUCUCCUUCUUCUUAUUUUCCUUCUCCUCCUUCUUAUUCUCCUUUUCCUUCUUCUUCUCCUUCUUCUUCUCCUUCUUCUCCUUGUUCUUCUUCUUCUCCUUCUUCUCCUUGUUCUUCUUGUUCCUCUUCUUCUCCUUCUCUUUCUUCUCCUUGUUCUUCUUCUCCUUGUUCUUCUCCUCCUUCUUCCUUCUUCUUCUCCUCCUUCUUCUUUUCCUUCUUUUUCUCCUUCUUCUCCUCCUUCUCCUUGUUCUCCUUCUCCUUGUUCUUCUUAUUGUACUCCUUGUUCUUCUUCUCCUUCUUCUCCUCCUUCUCCUUCUUCUUAUUUUCCUUCUCCUCCUUCUUAUUCUCCUUUUCCUUCUCCUUCUUCUUCUUGUUCUUGUUCCUCUUCUUCUCCUUCUUCUCCUUGUUCUUCUCCUUCUUCUUAUUUUCCUUCUUCUUCUCCUUCUUCUCCUCCUUCUCCUUGUUCUCCUUCUCCUUGUUCUUCUUAUUGUACUCCUUGUUCUUCUUCUCCUUGUUCUUCUCCUCCUCCUCCUUCUCCUUCUUAUUUUCCUUCUUCUUCCUCCUCCUUCUCCUUCUUCUUUUCCUUCUCCUCCUCCUUAUUCUCCUUUUCCUUCUUCUUCUCCUUCUUCUUCUCCUUCUUCUUCUCCUUGUUCUUCUUCUUCUCUUCUCCUUUGUUCUUCUUGUUCCUCUUCUUCUCCUUCUCUUUCUUCUCCUUGUUCUUCUUCUCCUUGUUCUUCUCCUCCUCCUUCUUCUUCUUCUUCUCCUCCUUCUUCUUCUUCUUUUCCUUCUUUUUCUUUUCUCCUCCUUCUUCUUGUUCUUCUUCUCCUUCUUCUCAUUGUACUCCUUGUUCUUCUUCUCCUUCUUCUCCUCCUUCUCCUUCUUCUUAUUUUCCUUCUCCUCCUUCUUAUUCUCCUUUUCCUUCUUCUUCUCCUUCUUCUCUUCUCCUUCUUCUCCUUCUUCUUCUUCUCCUUCCCCUUGUUUCCCUUCUUCGAAACGUCUCAUGUGUUUGUCUUUAAAAUGUUCCAGAAACUAAAAUGACAGAUCUAAAGUUUGGAACAACAUCUCAGCUGAUGAAUGGAGACAUUUUUAUGGGACAAUCCGUCUCCUUUUUUUGUUUUUUUCUGUCUUGGUUU